rnacentral:rRNA from 1 species
GAUGAACGCUAGCUACAGGCUUAACACAUGCAAGUCGCGGGGUAACAUCUGGUAGAGCUUGCUCUUCCAGGAUGACGACCGGCGCACGGGUGAGUAAACGCGUAUCCAACCUGGCCCAUACCACGGGAUAGCCCGUCGAAAGGCGGAUUAAUACCGUAUGCUGUCAUUAAGAUGCAUAUAUUGAUGACGAAAGGACUGGCGGUAUGGGAUGGGGAUGCGUCUGAUUAGCUUGUUGGCGGGGUAACGGCCCACCAAGGCGACGAUCAGUAGGGGUUCUGAGAGGAAGGUCCCCCACAUUGGAACUGAGACACGGUCCAAACUCCUACGGGAGGCAGCAGUGAGGAAUAUUGGUCAAUGGGCGUAAGCCUGAACCAGCCAAGUAGCGUGAGGGAAGACUGCCCUACGGGUUGUAAAACCUCUUUUGUUUGGGAAUAAAGUGCGGGACGUGUCCCGCAUUGCAUGUACCAUUUGAAUAAGGACCGGCUAAUUCCGUGCCAGCCGCCGCGGUAAU